GACAUAGUGCGGUGUAGACACCGCUUUAACUCGAUGUAACUCACAUCACUCAGGGGGGUGGCCUUUUCACACCCCUGAGCGACGUAAAUUACAUCAACUUAAGCGGUAGUGUAGACAAGAGUGGCAGAUUUAUCAUCAGCAUUGCAAAGACAGCAGAGAUGAUCACAAGAAAGAAGAAAAUAUUUUUGUCUGAUGCAUUUGCAGAAAUCUGCUUGUAGAAUAUAAAUGCAAAGUCAGCAUUACCAGGCGCUAUUUUGAGAAGACCAUGUCACCAUGCACAUUAUCUCUUUCAAUCUGGGUAUCACCUUCGGUGUGACUGGUAUCUUCACGAUCAUCAUGGCCUUUGAUGGGACCGGGCUGGGGAUGACUAUGGCCGACUGCAUGUAGCCCAAGAAGUAACAAACACAGCCAGAGGAUGGCUUCCACCUCCCUUACUGAACCGUGCCCCCAACCACAACUUUCUAAUCAACUAUGGAUAGAAAUGGCACAUAGGAUCUACUGGAGGUUCAUGCGGGAGGGAAGGCAAGAUUCCUUUUCAAAAGCAAAGCCCAGAGGACAGCCCAUAGAGAAGAUUUGACUGAAGAUCCAUGACAGAUUUCCUCUGGUGGGGAACAGAAGGUUUCUGAGAAGUGAUAUUGGAAGCCAGGACUAGGAGGAAGGAUGGCUCAUAGCUAAGAAGGUGCUGACUGCUGCCCUAUUAAUGAUGCAACUGUCAUUGGACCAUUUUUAUCCUCCCAUUAUAAAGAAUAAGCCAUUCCACCUGUCCCCAUCUACUGCUAAUGUGAGGGGAAAGAAGAAUGCAGCACACACACAGCCUCAGGAAGAAAGGAAUAGACACUGGGACACACAACUAAUUACCCACAUGUUAAACAGGGCCCUUGCUAUACAUAAGAGUAACACUCCGUGCUUCUACACCUUCCAUCCAACAAUCUCAACAGGGUGACCAGAUAGCAAGUGUGAAAAAUUGGGAUGGGGGGCAGGGGGAUAAUAGUUGCCAGUAUAAGACAAAGUCCUUAAUAUCAGGAUGUCCGGUCACUCUAAUCUCAACAGUAAUGAACACUUCUCACAAUACCCCUGUGAGUGGUAUCAACCCAUUUUGUGGGUGGGAAACUGAGGCACAAAGAGGUCAAGUGACUUGAACAAGAUCACACAGGAACUUGGUGACUGACCUAGGAAUAGAAUCCCGAGCUCUUGAGAUUUAACCAUAGGGCCACCCCUUCUUCCCUACUGAAAUGGCCUAAAAGUACACUGCUCCCAGCUGCAUGCAAUUCUACGUUAUCUCCAUAUAUUUAUUCAGACCAGAUAGAUUGAACUGGACCGUGCAAAAGUUUUUCACUGAAACCAGGCAUAACUCAGCUGGGUUUGUGAAAGUCAAAUGACCUCCCCUUGGAAACUCUCUUCACUACUGCAGUGGGGUGUGAGGCAUCAGGCUGCAGAUUGACAUGAAGGUAACAAAAAGAGAACAGGACCCAAGGAGUUCCAACUAUAUUACUGCUAAACAGAAAAACAGGUAGAUAGCCUACUCCCCUGGAGGCACUUAAGUGGGUUUGAUUUAGGGAGUGAACGGAUUUACUACACCCUCCCAAAGACGCAAAAUGGACCAACCAACCGCUCUGAAAAUUAUGUGGAGAGAGAGGAGGUGUUUACUGGCCAUCGGUUUGCAUGAGUGCCAAACUCCAGUGAAUUUCAGUGAGUGAAUGUGUCCACACAAAGCUAGCUCGUUGGGGGUCUCUAAUAAUGAGGUCUUUCUAUACUACAAACCAUAGAACCCCACUGCUGCUUUAUAGGUAGAUUAUUCCAGUUUUGGAAAAGGUAAGACAUUUUGCUUAGUUCCUUGUCUGCUGAUACUAAGGCAGCUCCUCUUUGCACAAUUCAUGUUUAUUUGACAGGGAUAACACCACUGACAUUUUGGUUAAGCUGUUUCAUUGCCCAGUACUGAUUUUAGGAACAAUCAUGAGCAUUGGGGCUGAAACUAGCGGUGUGGGGGGUGCGGCAGCACCCACUGGCUUGAAGUAGUAAAAUAACAACCCAAAUACAUGGUUUCUGCCCUCAGCAUCCCCACUAUAAAAAUUGUUCCAGCACCACUCGUCACGAGGAUCCUCCUCUUGGUAGAGCUAGAUUAAAUUUUUACAUUUCUGAAGUUUCAAUGAAAAACAGUUCACAUUUUUCAGUGAAAGUUUUGUGAAAAAGUGUUGCCAAGUUUCAAAAGGCUCUGCCAGCUAGUCAACGUAAAGAACUGUAAACUGUGUAUUUAAUUUAAUCCAAUUCCUUGUCUUAAAGCUUGGGUUUGGUAAUCUAAGGCAGUGUUGUCAAGCAUUCAGCCUGCUUGGUGCAUUUAUGUGGCACAUUCUUACUCUCCAGAAUGAAAGGCCCCGAGUCCGCCAACAGGCACAUGCUUAAUUUUAUGCACAUUAGCAGUCCCACUGUAGACAUGCAAGAAGCCAAGCACGUUUUCAGCACCGGAGCCUAAAUUUUCCCCUUUCAAAGUGAGUUAAAAUUCUAGCUCUCAUGGUUGCAAAGAUAAUAUGACAUGAAUGUAAUAAAUGAAGUGCCAUCUUCUUCGGUCUGCCAGCAGCCUGAAACAAUGCCUUUGAGAUGCAUGAACUCUUCCCCCACCCCUACACACACACACUCCUUUAGUCUCACUGGGGUGAUAAUUCUGAAGACAAAUGAUGAAACUUAAAAUAUUAGCAUUAACUUUUUCAUUGAUGAUCAUCUUAGCAGGUGGGAUGGGGGAAAGCAUAGGAGAGAGAAUCCAGGGGGGCUGGAAAUGAAAGCGGCCACAGGGAGGGAAAUGCAGAAGGGAAAAAAAUGAGAUAAAGGGAGAACAACAGACUACAGAGAAAAGCACACAGGGAAGCAAAAGAAACAAAAUGCAGAAAUGGCAGUGGUCCUAAAGGGAAGCAGAUUUUCACAUUGAGUGAUACAGAAUGUGACAGUAGGAUAUUGAACAGAUAACAUGUCCUGGGCUUGGUCUACACUACAGACUUAUGUCAAUGUAACUACAUCGCUCAGGGGUGUGGAAAAUCCACACCCCUGAACGACACAGUUAUACCGACUGAACUUCUGGUGUAAACAGUGCUAUGCCGACAGAAGGGCUUCUCCCAUCAAUAUAGCUACCACCUCUUGGGGAGCUAGAGUACCUACACUGACAGGAAAAGCUCUCCC